UUCUAUCAGUUUUUGGCUGAGAGACUGUAAAGACAAUGUGUGGUAGCACCACAGAAAGUCCCCAGGAACAAAUGACUCAAGGUCAGGUAAAGCUAGCUGUUGUUAUGGCAAAAAUUGUCUCUUCCUUAUUUCUAUGUCUCUUCCUUAUUUCUAUGCAGUUAUUAUACGAGUUAUGACUUAUGUUCUGCAAUUAAUAUCUUAUGUUUUGUCUUACUGUAUGCAUUUGACAUUUCACCUAGAUUGUUCAAUGCUUGUCUCUGCCUGAUAGACUCUCAACUCUAGCUCCCAAACCCAAGGUCGGGGAGUUGUGUCUCUGUCUGUUGAGACUUGGUGCUCCUUUCUCACAGAUAGUUGGACGUCAGCGAUGCAGAACUGAGCGCGAUGAGGGUAAAUCCGGAUCUGGACUCCUUUCCCACCAUCAGCAGAAGAACCGAAGGAGAAGAAGCGCCAACCAACAACCAGAACAGGGUGGAAGCUCUGACACCACAGCAGCUGGAGGACACAGACCACAGCAUGGACGCCUCACAGACUCCCACAACGUCUGCAGCCAUCACGUUCUGGGCUCAUCAGAUGAACCAGCUACUACAAGCAUGUGUGUCUGACACAGACACCUGCUUAUGACAAUCAGCAAAGGAAAACAAGGACAGAGCAACAGCAGAGAAGACGUGCUCUGACACAGACACUGGUUGAAACAACAGGAGAGGCUUCAGACGUGAUCGGCCCAAAAGAGCUGCAUCUGAGGAUCCAGGAAAGGUCUGUCAUCGAGGAACAACUGUCCCAUCGAAAGGCUUCACCCACUGGCGGUCACAUCAGACUGAUGGUUGGGGAAGGAGGAAGGUGACGGUUCCUUUUCACGUGACGUACAAGACGGUACCGCAAACAUACACACACACAUUCAUACACGCAAUGAAGAAACACGCUUACAGCUGAUACACGCUCAAAUUCAUGUUCAUGCUUAUCUGCUCGCAAUGAAGAAUCGCUUUCUGCUUAAAAAAAUCCCACAGAGUGAUUUUAAAAUGAUGACAAACAGCUAAAUGACAAUUGCUGCAUGACUUUACAGUCUGAUGGGUUCAAACUAUUUUAACUUGCAACAAAUUCAGUAAUAAAAUCCUCCAUGUUUCUAAAAAGGUUUGUGCACAAUAUAGGUUUGUCUGGCCAGACUAUAGAAAAACAAAAUCAGACUAUAGAAAAACAAAAUCAGACUAUAGAAAAACAAAAUCAGACUGUAGAAAAAACAAAACCAGACCAUAGGAAGACUGAAACCGACUGAAACAGACUAUCAAUGACUAUUAAAGGGAAGACGACUAUUAGAGAGAAGUAAUAAUAAUGACUGUACGUACCAGACUAUUAAAGAACAACUUAUUGUUUCACUGUCUUGUGCAACAUCUGCAGCAAGACACCUUAACAUUCAUUUUUGCUUUCAAACUUGUGCCCAGUUAAAUUUUUAGGAAGAGAUCUCAUGUAGUUUAGAUAUUUGAUUGAUUUCCACUCCAGACGGAGUGCAGGUUACAUCUACAGACAUUCUAAAUAAUCCUUCUUUUGUUGGUGUUAACUUCAGCUCAGCUGUGCUCUUAUCAGUGGCUGCUGAGGGGGGGCUGUAACUGAGGCCCUCACACAGGCUGCAUCACAGCUUGUUUAUGAUUUCACACACACACACAAACUGACCUCAACUUCCCUCUUUUGGGAUGAACGCAGGUCUGCGCUUGCGAUUUCUUUUACUAACGAACAAAAAGAUUUUUGAUGUUUAUUCUACAGCUCCACACGUCCCUCUGUGAAAACAUGAUGGAGACAGAUGCAGGACGUGGGUCCUUUCGUGAACAGAUGUCAACGGGGUGGAGACUGGUGAACGACUUCUGACCCCAUGUGACGUAUUUACCCACAUUACAUGCUUUUGUUUUUAUUUUUAUUUUUCAGAGGACGCUCUGAGCCAACACUCAGCCUUACAGGAAGCCCUGUUUCCCUGUGGCUCACACACAGACAUGAUGUAGGUUCAAUCAGAGGAUGUGAACCAGUGGUCAUCACACCUAAAUCUGACCACAGACCAUGUGAACAACAACACCCUCUUAAAGGAAGCCAUAGAUGGUGUUACUGCAGACACCACUAAGCUACUGAAUCAUUGGAUGCUACAGGCCACAAAGAGAGCCUGUCUAAAUUACACUUUGUUCAGACAAAGGUUAUUUUCUGGGUCAUUGUAAUUACAGCUGAUGGCAAAUCCAUCUCACCCAACAGAUUUGAAGCAAUUUGAAACCUGCCUAAACCGUGCACGUAUAAACAGCUGAUGUCUUUUCUAGGUUUUUGUUCUUAUUGUAGGACUUUCGUUCCUAAAUUAAAUGUCUUUGAGGCCCCACUCAGGGUUCUGAUGCAGACGUCUUCAUCGUCCACUUCUUGUCUCACGUGGACGUCUGAGGCUGAACAACGUUCACUGACCUCAUGCUUGCUCUUCAGGCUCCUACUUUGGGUCUCCCUGAUCUGACCCUAUGCGACCUUUCACUCAAACAGUGGAUGAGAGAUCAGGUUGUACGACUUCUGUUCUUUUGUCCUCAUACUGUGUCUUUGAUUCUUUUGGAAUAGAUCACAUCUUUCUACAGCCUGAUGGCUUAGAUGCAACACCACCUUGCUCAACAUGCUGAACAUUACUAUCAAGUUCGUCUUGAAGUCUGGCUCUUUGCUAAGACACUACUCUGCUCAGGCUGCAGAGUUGAUUGUGUUGACUGAAGCUAGUAAACUAGCAGAAGGAGAGUCUGUUACCAUCUACAGACUCCACAGAUGCUCUGUGGAAGCAUGGGAAGCUUUGAAGUCUGAUUGCAAACCUAUCUUACAUCAUGAUAAGGUUCUGCUUUGCUGGACGCUGUCCUGCUGCCUACAGCUAAUGCUGUUUGUAACUGUCCAACAUCAGUGACGACUUUGUUUCUGCCGACAUGCAGCUGCAGACGCUGCUGCGAAGGUCACUGCCCAACAACCCCUCCCUCUCCUGAUCCUCGUUUCCUCUCCUCAUCCUUGUUCCCUCUCUCCAACUCUCUCUAUCCUUUCCUUCCUCUCUCCCUGUGCUUUAAACAUUUUGUACCUCACAGGAACUCAGACUCUGGCUGACGAAUGGUUCCACCUGUAGCCAUGGAGUCUGGUUUGGGCCUGAUGGCAGCCGUGCCGCCCAAACACCUUUUCCCCACAAUUCAGAUUUCCAACAGGUGAAAACAGGCGACAGGACCAUUACACCAUCCAACGAGGGGACUGGCGAUCGUUAGGAGUUCAGGAGGAAGCAUUGGGACUCAAAACGGUGGCGAGGUCCCUUCCAGGUCCUUCUGACGACCCACACGGCUGUGAAGAUCGCAGAGAGAGCGACUUGGAUCCACUCCAUCCAGGAAGGUCCCAGAUCCAACAGACGACCAUCCAUCUACAUCCCACGGAGAAAACCACCACUGACAUAAAGAAUUGAGAAGGACGACCCUCGCUGUGCUCACACACGCACUGAGGCGAGGCUGCGUUGACCGUUCAGCUAAAGGUGUGAGCCAAGCGCCGCCUGAAGCUGCGCCGAUGAAUCACACUAUCAGACCAUAUAUCUACACACACGCUCCUGAGAAAACACACACACGAGCAGCCUUGAGUUGCCGACGCUGGACGACGUGUAGACUCUUCACAUCACGGGAGUGACAGUGACUCAGACGACAUUGGGAGGAAACCUGGCGGUGAUAACGAACCCCAAGUGUCUCUGUGAUCAGCUGAUCACAACCUGAAGAACUCCAACGAACUGGAUAUACAUCAACACACAGGUUGGAAACAAUCUAACGCUACUGUUCAACAGGAAGAAGCAGAUUGUUACAAGACAUCAAUUGUAACCUUGUUUUGUUAAACUUCAUUUUAUGUUACAUGGAUUGUUGUCUUUAUCAUAUGAUGUUUCUAUGUAACUUUACACACUACUUUUGAAUGAGAAAAUUUCACAUAAUUCACAACACUGAGUUUAAAUAUCCUAAAGUUGAUUUGGUGUUUAAUUUGCUCACAAUCACUUAUUCACUGCUACAAUUAGUUUUUAUCCUUCAUCUACAGAUGACAGAGGUUAUGAGACAAAACGCAUCAUCAUUGUGGUUAAAUCCCUGAAUUUCCUAUUCGCUCUAGACGCAAAUGUACAAUUAAAGAUCCGAAAGCAUUAAAUCUAUCUUAAGAAUAUAUGAAACAGAACCCCACCGGAAACCUAUGGCUAUCAUACAUUAAUUAUCUUUAUUACAUUACAAUUGAAUGGCCGUAGACACGUUGUUAGCAGAGAAAAGAGGCGUUUGUGUUAUGUUCAGAGAGGCAUAUUGUACUUACAUCCUGAAUAACACUGAUUCUAAUGGUAUUGUGGCGAAGGCGCUCCACGGCCUUCAGAAUCUCAGCUAACUCUGGUAUAGGUUCUUUCCCUUGGAAUUGACUAGACGAAAUGUCUGGAAAAUGGAAAUCUGUUCUCAUGUCCACAGCUGUUUCCUUUAUCAUUGUGAUGGCUGUGAUUCUCUUGUUUGGUUUUUGCGUUAUCCCAUUGGUUAGAGGUCUCAUCAUGCGUGCGACUUCAGCAACACUCUCGUAUCAAAUGACACAAUGCACUAUGUUCAAAAACCCCAACUCUAACUCACUUAAUGACUUUGACGAUGGUAUGGGCUCAUUUUCUUCACAUGCCGAUACAGAGGUUAUUCUUGUAUAACUACCCACCAAAAACAGCUCCCAACCUUUUGUCCCUUAGUUACUUCCAUUUUAUGUGAAGGUGUAUUUUGAAUCUUGAUGAGUUAAUACUUAUUGUUUCAUUUGCAAGGAUCUUUUAUUAUUACAGAAUGUGAUGUUGACAAUUUUUCUUCUUAGUGGUUGAUUAAUGUGUAAUCAAAAGGGGGGAGUGUUAUGGCAAAAAUUGUCUCUUCCUUAUUUCUAUGUCUCUUCCUUAUUUCUAUGCAGUUAUUAUACGAGUUAUGACUUA